GACGUAGGGCGCGAGCGUUGUCCGGAUUUAUUGGGCGUAAAGAGCUCGUAGGCGGCUUGUUGCGUCGACUGUGAAAACCCGCGGCUUAACUGCGGGCUUGCAGUUGAUACGGGCAGGCUAGAGUUCGGUAGGGGAGACUGGAAUUCCUGGUGUAGCGGUGAAAUGCGCAGAUAUCAGGAGGAACACCGGUGGCGAAGGCGGGUCGCUGGGACGGUACUGACGCUGAGACGCGAAAGCGUGGGGAGCAAACAGG
rnacentral:rRNA from 1 species